GACGAACGCUGGCGGCGUGCUUAACACAUGCAAGUCGAACGGAAAGGCCCUGCUUUUGUGGGGUGCUCGAGUGGCGAACGGGUGAGUAACACGUGAGUAACCUGCCCUUGACUUUGGGAUAACUUCAGGAAACUGGGGCUAAUACCGGAUAGGAGCUCCUGCUGCAUGGUGGGGGUUGGAAAGUUUCGGCGGUUGGGGAUGGACUCGCGGCUUAUCAGCUUGUUGGUGGGGUAGUGGCUUACCAAGGCUUUGACGGGUAGCCGGCCUGAGAGGGUGACCGGCCACAUUGGUACUUACAUACGGCCCAGACUCCUACGGGAGGCAGCAGUGGGGUAUAUUGCACUAUGGGCGGAACCCUUAUUCACCACCGCCGCGUGCGUGAUGACUUCCUUCGGUUUGUAUACCGCUUUCGCCUGUGACGAAGCGUGAGUGACGGUAAUGGGUAAAGAAGCACCGGCUAACUACGUG
rnacentral:rRNA from 1 species